GCGGGUGAAAGGCCAACCUUCAUUGACCACUAUAAGGCUUUUCUUAAAUGCUACUCGGACACACCAAAAGAAAUGUUGUCCUUUUCACAAAAACAUGUCCUUGUUCAGGACCAUGUAAGUUAUUUAAAAUAAUGGUCAAUGAAACAAAUAUAGCAAUGGUAUCGCUUCUCACAUUUUCCUCAUUCUGCUCAGAGGGCUGACAGAGUGGAGAAGAUCAUCCAUCAUCCACUUCUUUCAAGUUACUCCCUUCUGCCAAAGGGAUUAAGAGACACAUUUUCAUCCCACUUUCUCAAAUAGGAGAAAAAGUUUUCCAUGCUGGUUUCUACUGUUCCAUGUUUUGCUCUUAUAUUGCACCCAAGAAUCAUUUCAAGAUGUUCUGAGAAGAGAUGUAAAAGAGUCAGCUGAUCUUCCCUACUUCAGGUCUAUUGAACACAGGUGAAGUCCACUCUCUCUGACCUCGGCUCACCAAGGCCCCUGGGAAGACAGGCUAGCAACAGAAAUCAGAAUUGUUAAAAGUUUCUUGGAUAACUGAGAAAAAAAAGAACCUACUUUCUCUUGAGGAUGCCAGACCUAAUUUCUUGCCAUUCCAAAUAUUUAAGUCUGGGAGUGUGGUAAAGCUAAAAGCUGGCUUCACAAUCGGAAAAGUUCACAAUACAAGAAGAAAUGAUGGAGAAAGCAUCUUAAGCCUUCUGCACUGAGCUGGGAUGGCGGGACAAAGGAAAAAGGAGUCCUUCUCAGUCUGGUCUGAUAGAGAUGAUGAGGCUCAGCUCCAGGGAGAUAAUAAUCUGUGAAUUACACAACCAGGAAUGCACCUUAGGACUAGAAGAGUAAGGGAUUUGUAGAGGUAGAGAAUGCCUGGCAGUGUGAUUACCGUAGGACCAAGCCACAGGGUGGCACCCAGUAGGAAAGAUACAUGGAGAAAGUCUUUACAAAGGUGCACCUAGAGAUAAUGCUCAGGUAGCUGACCAUUCCUUUCAGAUGAAACCCCUGCCUAGUUGUGCUUCCUUAGAGGGUUCUCAUUGAGUUUUAAAUAACUAAAUCAGAGGUGGUUUAGCUUCCCACUGACCACUUCUUAUUUUGCCACCUCCACUAAGUAGUUUACUUCUUUGACCCACCUAGAUAGCAGUGUGUCUUCUUUGAAUCACACUAUUAACGUGAUUUAUCUGGAAUACCUAGCUCUAUAUAAAUGCUUAAUUCUGACUGUGUUAAAAAAGACUACCUUAUGGAAAAGAAACCCUUACAAAAUGAAUCAGCUUUCACAUUUAGAGUUCUUGAUUAUUUAGAAAGUCAUACCAAUGUGUAAACUUCAAAAAUGCAUAAUAUAAGCUAACAGUUCCUGGUCACUCACAAGGAGCCAGCCAUGUGCUAAGCACUUCAGGUAGAUCAACUCAUUGAACAUAUUAACAUAUACAUCAUUGCUAAAGGUAACAUUUUAUAAUUAAGAAAAUAUGCGAAUCAUGAAAUUAUCUUAUUUGCCACUCAAAUUUAGGCAAGCCACUUUACUUCAUUAGGCCUCAGUCUGAGGAAUAAGACUAAUGAGUACUGUCUAGGAUUCAUCAUGAGGAUCUAAUGAGAUAAUUAGGUCAAGUGAACAGCACAGUGCCUGGCACAUAGUUAAGUACACAAUAAAUACAAAUUGCCACAAUUUUUAAUUCAGAUGAAGACUAUAUUGAGAGGAAAGAAGUAAAUUUAAAAUUUCAAGAUGCGAAUUACAGCUACUUACUUAGCUAUAUGACAUAAGUUUAGGAAUUACAUUAUAGCUCAAUACAAAUUAUAAUAGAACUGCUUUCACACAUUUGCCUGACAGACUAAUUUUUAGCUCUCUUUUUCAGCUCAAACUUCAUUUUUGAAGUUAAAAAAAUAUUUCUCCAGCCAGGCAUGGUGGUGUAUGCCUGUAGUCCCAGUUACUGGGAAGGCUAAGGCAGGAGGAUUGAGACUAGGAGUUCAAGGCUGUAGUGCAUAUGAUCACACCUGUAAAUAGCCACUGUACCUCAGCCUGGGAAACACAGUGAGACCCUGUCUCUAAAUAUAUAUAUAUAUAUAUAUUCUUCAACAAAUCUUUUUACCACUUAAGCAUUGACAUUGUUUUUAACAGUUUUUCUUGACCCUACUUGACUGGAAAUGUUAAAGACUAGCAAAAUGUUUCCAGCUCCACAUUGGGGUUAGGGGUGGGGAAAAUCAGAUUAUAGGUUAUUCUCUGUGGUCUCUUUUAUUUCAAAGGUUUUAUGGUGCUACUAACUGGUCAAAUGCCAGAGAGAAGGAAAACUGCAAUUUAUAGUCUGACCAGAGGAAGAGAGUCAAUAAGCUGAACGAGUCAGGAACUAGCUAGAUCUCCAAGGAAUGGAGCCGUGUCAAAGUCCAUGUUCUAUUUCUCAAUAUAUCUCUAGGGCUCACGGUUGGAGGCUUGUAUACAAAUCUUGGGGGGAAAGGCAGACAAAUACCAUAGGCAAACAUGUUCUUGAUAUACAUAAGAUUAAAAGAAGAAACUUGAACAGUCUAGGACAGGAAGGAAAAGUAUAAGUAGCAGCUUGUUGACUACUUUUCUAAUACCAUGAAACAGAACUAUGUGUAGCCAAAGCAGUUUAGAUAGUGAGGAAAAGCAAACAAAACAAUAAGAACAACAACAACAAAUAUGGGAUGUAGUUUCGACAGACCAAGAUUUUUCUGCAGCACUGUAAUUUUAUAAGCUGUGCGACUUCAAGUUUUAUUCAUACAGUUUAUUCAUACAGUUGCUUCAACUGUAUAUAGUACUAAGUUCAUUGUCUGUCAAAGAGUAGAUGCCCAAUACAUUGUAGCUAUCAUUAAUGAGGUUAUGACUCCAACUAUGACUAUAGACCUAGAAGCUGCUUUCUCCAGCUAGCUGGUGAUCUAGCUGCCAAUCAGUUACUUGCUAUUCUAUAACAAAGUUGCAGUAUCAGAGCAAAAAUCACAGCCCGCUGUUGCCUAUCCCAUGUUAGAAUGCCAUUGGUUAAAAGUGGACACAUUUUACAGUAAUUUAUCCUGACUAAAAUAGUAUCAGUCAUAUAAAUUCCUUGAUGCAAAGAAAAAACUCUGUGCCACAUUGCAAUGGAAUGACAUCCUGAAUGUUAGGAAUUAUUAUUUUCUGUAUUCCAUAUGAAUGUCUCAAGCAAGUUCACUAAAAAGAGCUCAAUUUCUCAUCUUUGAUGUAUUUUAAACAAGAAAGAGAAUUAGAUACAACGGGAGCACUUUUCUCUAGGAAGUCUGAAAACAAUUACAUACUGAAAUUAUGUUUAAUGAAACAUUUAUUUUAACAAGUCACACUGGUGCCAUCUAUUUUACAAUUUAGAAUGAAUAUUUUGCAAUAUGAAAUGAAAAAAGACCAAGAAGUCACUCACUAGCAGUUUUCAAAGGCCAUAAAGAAGAAUUGGUUUAUCUAUUGAUUCACUCUCAUUAUAUCUACUGACAACUAAGAGGAAAUGGGUUAGAAUUUAAGCAAAGAAGAUUUGUAUUAGAUAUAAAGAAAACUUCCUAACUCUGUGGGUUUAAAACAACAGGACUGCUUCCUAUAAGGGUACUUUGGAAGAUGCAAUCCUUGGUGUGCAUACAUUCUACACCUAGUUUCUAGUUUUCUAAUUUCUUAUUCUUCCUCAUGUGUAGUAGGGAAAUGGAAGGGCUUGCAGGUGACCCCCUUUACCCUAUGGCAGAAAUUCUUAGGGCUGAGAUGGGGGGCAAAUGUCCUCUACACUGAGUUUCAUUAAUGGCAGCUUUUGCCCAGAGGUUGCCAGUGUUAUUAAACAGGGUAGGGUGCUAGAUGGUGGAUGCUUAGUUCAAACUGGGCUGGAAUUCUUCCAUAUUGGUCUCUGUAUAAUCUCUUUUUUCUUGCCACACUUCCCCAGCUCUUCUCUUGAAAUAUUCCCUUGUGUUUUUCUAACUCUUAUUCUGAAGAGCAGUUCACCCUUCUGUUAGCUUCUCUAAUUCGCAUCCUCAGCCAUCACCCAGGAUGCUCAUUAGGGAGCCAAUCCCCUUAGAAGGCUUAGGACAGAUAAUAAAUACUUACAAUAUUGCCCCUGUCAUGCUAAAAAACUGCAUCCAUAGGUUCUGGCAUUCUUCCUACUUUCCAUACUUUUGAAAUGCUUUCUAAUUUAGGUCAAACUUGACAAAGAACUAGGCAAUUUGAGAGCUGAGACAUAUCACUGGCACGGGCUCUCAUUAGUUAGUUACCUGUACACAGUUAUAUUUAACAGUGUCUCACCCAGGCUUGCUGUCAUUGUGCCCCAUGUGGUACCCCAGCCCUUCCCAUAGGCACCAAUCCCUGGAGAGAUUUGGUGCUUGUGGCUGAAGUAUACCUUACUUCUGUCCAUUUUCUAAUAUACCUUCAACCCCUGUAUUAUAUUUUGAGAUAUUGGAUCACCUCUGGAAAGGCUUCCAAGAAAAUCUAUAUUGAUUUUUUAUUAAGACUGUGCUUUCUUUGUGACUAUCUUCCUUACCAACCUAGCUAAUAUCCCUCAGGCCCUAUUCUCUAUACCUUUAUCUAAACUUUGACAAUUCUAUAUGUUUAGUAUUAGUAUUAUUGGGAAUAUUUAUACAUAUCGCUCAGCAUCUUUCCCUAAAAAGCUUAAAAACUCCUUAAAGGCCUCAUUAAUAUUCUUCCCCUUCAGUUUCAUCUUAGAAUCUACUUUUCUCAAUCUUGCUAGUAAUGGUUGGGUGGAUCCAUGACUAACCAUUCGUAUACUCAUGGUUACCUUCAUGUCAUCAUCCCUUCUGAUUCAAUAGAAUUCACUACAUGAUUGGAAUGAUUGACAGAGGAACUACUAAGUGAGCUAUUCCUUUACCUCUCCUAAAAGGCAAGUUUUAAUGAUAAGGCCAAAACCAUGGUGUGCCUCAGAUCCGUGGGGAAGAAAAAAAAAAGAGUUGCAGUCAGGACUAAGUAUUAUUGCACACAUAACCACAGCCAGUUGACAUGAUAGAAAAAGAGGGUGGAGAACCCCAUUUUGAAAUACCAAAAGAAGCGUCUUGCUUCUGAAGAAUUUCAUACCAAUUCAGCAUUUCUUUACCAACAACCAUACUCACUUCCUGAAUUAUCAGCUAUGCAUCAUACAGUGUUUAGUGCAUGAUUUUCUCAUUCCAGAUGAGCCUAAAAUAAACUUGUAAAAAAUAAGAUGCUAAAUAAAAUGAAUAGAUCUUAACUAUUAUAGUGAUAACUCUUCUGUGAUAUCUCAGAAGUGGGAAAAGUUACAUAACUUCAAGGUCUUAUAAGGCAGAGGUAUUUGAACUGCUACAUUACCUACGAGUUUAUCCCAAUCCAUAUAGAGAUACAGAAUACACAAAUGACUCUCCCGCGGUAAGGCAGCACUGCAGAGAGUAAAACUGUAAGUGAUCUUAACAGUCAUUAGCUUAGUGGUUUUCAAACAAUAUUCCUUGGAAUCCUAAAGUCUUUAGAGGUAUUUUAAGGAGAGGGUUUGAAUUUGGGGUGGGGGGUAAAUGUACAAACUCAGUGGCUGUUUUAUUGUUUUAUGUGUGCUUAUACUUUUUACUUAUAUAUUUCACACAUAUCUAUGUUUUUAAAAAUUAUAUCUAUAUAUUGAAUUUAUAUAUGAUUUUAUAUCUAAAAAUUACAGUAUAAAUAUUCAUUUAUAUUAACUUCAACUCACAUUUCAUUAAUAAAAAAUGUCCCAUUGAAAUAAACGUGUUUAAAAUCCAUUGACCUGCCUUGCCCCUUUUAUUUUACAGGACAGUAGACUUGGCUUCAGAGGGACUAGGUGACUCCUCCAGGGACACAGAGCAUGUUAGAAGUACAGUGGACAAAUGGCUUUUUCCAGGGAAUCUCAUACUUCAUGACUUUAAAGAGUAAACCUAUCUGUGAUCCACUCUGUGUCUUUCUAGUUAUGUUUUAAAUACAUCAAAUAUUUCAAGGUCUCAAAUGGUUUCAUAGCCCCAUGAGACGCUCAUAGGCUGUAGCCCCUGAGGAAUGUAGUGCCUGGUAUGGACCACAGAACCCUGGAGGUGGGAUCUGGAAAGAAAGGGAAUUCUGAUCCUGAAAGCUCAAGUUGAAGCACUGAGGCUGACACUCUGGGCUACACAGAGAAAGCAGUGUCAGAUGGUGGUGAGGAACACCUUGUAGGCAGACCGCCAAGGUGGCACAAAAGCUUGACAAAGCGUCCAUGAACCAUUUGAAGAUUUUUG
rnacentral:lncRNA from 1 species